rnacentral:rRNA from 1 species
GACGUAGGGCGCGAGCGUUGUCCGGAUUCACUGGGCUUAAAGGGUGCGUAGGUGGGCAGUUAAGUCCGUGGUGAAAUCUCUGAGCUUAACUCAGAAACUGCCGUGGAUACUAUUUGUCUUGAAUGUUGUGGAGGUGAGCGGAAUAUGUCAUGUAGCGGUGAAAUGCUUAGAUAUGACAUAGAACACCAAUUGCGAAGGCAGCUCACUACACAAUUAUUGACGCUGAGGCACGAAAGCGUGGGGAUCAAACAGG